rnacentral:rRNA from 1 species
AUUGAACGCUAGCGGGAUGCCUUACACAUGCAAGUCGAACGGAGUGGCGAACGGGUGAGUAAUGUAUCGGAACGUGCCCAGUAGCGGGGGAUAACUACGCGAAAGCGUAGCUAAUACCGCAUACUAUUGGAGCGGCAGAUACCGAAUUAGCUAGUUGGUGGGGUAACGGCUCACCAAGGCGACGAGCCGUAGCUGGUUUGAGAGUGUGAACAGCCACACUGGGACUGAGACACGGCCCAGACUCCUACGGGAGGCAGCAGUGGGGAAUUGUGGACAAGGGGGGAAACCCUGAUCCAGCCAGCCCGCGUGGGCGAUGAAGGCCUUCGGGUUGUAAAGCACUUUUGGCAGGAAAGCGGUACCUGCAGAAUAAGCACCGGCUAACUCCGUGCCAGCAGCCGCGGUAAUAC